UCGCUUCCUCAACACUCAGAGGUUGUGCUGGAGCAGGAGGCUUUUUUCGUGUGAAAACCCUCAAAGCAAAGAUAGUUCACCUUUCCAUAUAGAGAACCCACUAUUACUCAAAACAACACUUGGGAUCAUUCCAAUUAGUUAUUUAUUUGAAGUCCCACCACUUCUUUCUGUGACUACAGAUAGGCUCCGGGGGGCAUGAUUUGUUUUUUCCUUAUGGCCGUGAUGAUAUUAGGUUUCUUAACGUACUGCGUCAGGAAUGUUCCACUUGCUAAACUUUUUGAGGGCUUCUUCCUUCAGUAACAUAUUCAGCUAAACAUGAAGUCCUCCAAAGAGGUUUUCUCGUUCCCUAUCUUAUUUCUCCCUGAGCUCUGAAAUGGAAAUAUAUGCACGAGUAAUAAUACAUCGUAAGGUUCUUUGAAGCAUCUAUAAUGUUUCUCAAGGGCUCGUGUCAUUCAGCUUCACUUCUGCUCCUCAAGGUCUGAAAAGCUCGAAAAGCAUCAUUCUUAUUUGGCCAGUCUCUGUGCAUUUUCUCUCUUCAGAGAGGAAAUGGUGAAGAGAUGAGCAAAUGGAGGAUGGCGGAGGGAGUUGAGAGAGGGCAGAACAGGCUCAGAGACAAGAAAGGAGGCCAUAGAGACCUGACAGCCCAACAGUGAUGGGAUCCCAAGCCCCUGGAAACCCUGCCGGUGUGAUGCUGAAUGAAUCUGUUCUCACUUUACCUGGAAAACCAGUUUCUUCCUGAGCCCAUGAGUCAGUUGCUAAGGAGCAGAGUUGCCUGUGAAUAGCGGAGUCCCUAGCCAGCAGGGAAAGAGCUCAUAAAGAAAGUCAGAUCAGGAAUAAAGAGAUUUCCUUCCCAUAUAUGAAUGCUCAUGGCUUUCUUCAUGAGCCCUUUACCUAUUUAAGUAGCAGGAAAAUAACUACAUUUAGUGCAAUUUAGUCUUUUUUUUAAAUUGAAGUAUAAUUGAUUUAUAAUAUCAUGUCAGUUUCAGGUAUAUAGCAUAGUGAUUCAGUUAUACGAGAAGUAUAUGUAUAUAUGAUGGAGAAGUAUAUGUAUAUACUUUUUAAGAUGAUUUUUCCAUAUAGGUUGUUAUAGAAUAUUGAAUAUAGUUAUUCAAUAUAGUUCCCUGUGCUAUAGAAUAGGUCCCCAAUUUAGUCUUAAGGUUAGUUCUGCCCAAUCAUCUGCACAGAAUCUUUAUUUUUAUUUUUUCAUUUUUUUGUAUUUUUAGGGCUGCGCACAAAGCAUAUGGAGGUUCCCAGGCUAGAGGUCCAAUCAGAGCUGUAGCCACUGGCCUACACCACAGCCACAGCAACGCGGGAUCUGAGCUGCAUCUGUGACCUACACCACAGCUCACGGCAAUGCCAGAUCCUUAACCCACUGAGUGAGGCCAGGGAUCGAACCUGCGUCCUCAUGGAUACUAGUCAGAUUCAUUUCCGCUGAGCCACAAUCGAUGGGAAUUCCUACACAGAAUCUUUAGAUUCACUUGUUUUUCUACUAAGUUCUUCAUAGCUCUUGUCUCCCUCUCCUGCUCCUCUCUCCAGAUCCUGGGACCCAUGGCACUGGGGGAAGGGAACUCCUGGCUUUGCACUUGUGCCUGGGUGUGAGGUGCCUGGUGUCUGCUGAGGAAUGCUCAGCCCCACCCCGAUGGCUGGUGUCCACAGCUGGCAUCUGUGGCUGAAGUACUUGUGGUCUAUUUCUGCUUGGCUUGUUCAGAGUCUAGGUGCCCUCCCUGAAGACUUACCCCCACUGCCCACUCCACUCUUGCGGGUAAAGACCCUACUGGGUCUCUGCCAUAGCUGCAAUGUCUGGCCCUAGCCAUCAGCUCUAGCACUGAUGCUGGGGGGGAGGGGGGGUCAUCUCAGUCAGCCCAGCAGCCUCCUGCAGAUCUGUGGAUUCCCAAACGAGCAUCCACUCCAGAUGAAAACAGGAAAAGCUGAACCCUACAAGCAGGUCCUUUUUUCAACCUGAAUAUCCCACUCCACGCUCUGAAUAUGUAGGGCCCUCUCUAUAGUUUUAGGGUUAGUUGUCUCCAUUCCCAACAAAGGGUGGGUCAAAAAUCCUUGAGCUCUCACUGUGCUCCCAGCCUAUCCACCACCCCUCCUCACUCCAUGGAGCUCUGAUGACCUAGACAGGAGAGAUGCAGAUAGCGAUAUUCUUCCUUACUUCUCUGAACUCAUGGCCCCAGGAUCUUCUCUCCAUGAUCCUUAGGCCAGGAUGGGCACACUUUUCUUUGAGGUCCCCUUCUUCUCUCCAUUACAUUGUAGAAUGUGUUUUUACCAAUUAUGAAUGUGUUGCACCAGGACUAAUUACUAGAGAAAUUUAGAAAAUUCUAGCUUCCUAAUGCCUGCUUUAAAGGCUGUUACCUUGCUUCGAAUCCUAUGUUGAACAUCAAAAGUCCAAUAACCAAUUUCCCUUUAUUUUUACUUUCCAAUAACCUUCCUCUAUUGACAAAGAAGCUGAUCACAAAUACUGAAAAAUAAAACAGAAAGAGUAUUAAUAUCAUUCAAAAUAUCAUGCUCACUCUGUGUGUUCUGAGGAAGAGACUGAAUUGCUGGGAGCAGGUUAGCUUGAGGGAGAAGCGAUGUCCUUCCGGGGCUCCCUCCUCCACUGCUUGGGCCUCAGAAUGGCUAAUGCUUCUGACUGGUAUUGGGUUAGCAGGGUAGCAUCUCCCAUUCCAUCCCCUAGAAAUGAUCUGUCCCCGACCAGCCACCUUCCCCUGGGAUGCCACCAAAUCUUGGGGCUGAAAAUGAAAUCUUUGGGUUCUUCCAUUCAUUCAUCAGACAUUUAUAAAGUGUCUACGAUGGGACAUAUACUGGUCAAAAUGCUGUAAGACACAGAAAUAAGAUAGGAGUUCCCACUGUGGUGCAGCGGAAAUGAAUCUGACUGGUAUCGAUGAGAACAGGUUGUAUCCCUGUCGUCACUUGGUUGAGGAUCCUGCCUUGCCGUGAGCUGUGGUGUAGGUUGUAGAUGCAGCUCUGAUCUCGCGUUGCUGUGGCUGUGGUAUAGGCUGGUAGCUGUAGCUCCAAUUUGACCCAUGGCUUGGGAACUUCCAUAUGCUGCAGGUGCGGCCCUAAAAAGCAGGCAAGCAAGCAAGAAGGAAAAGAUAGAAUAAAAUAAAUCUGCAAGAAAUCAUUGUUGCUAAGAAUUUGAGCCUCUCUCCCAAUAUCUUUUAUCCAAAGAAGCUCAAAUCAGUGAAAUGAAUUUCUUUUAGUUUCCUCUACCUGCCUUCUGAGGACCAAGAGGUGUUUAAACCUUAUUCAUUCAUUCAUCCCUUCAACAAACAUUUAUCAAUUAUCCAUUACACGCUAGACACAGUGCUAAGUUCUGGGGACACUGAGGUGAUGAAGAUGUAUUAUCUUCUGCAAAGCUUUCUAGAUCAUUAUGAAUAUAGACAUUUCAAUGGCAAGAGUAAUGCAGUGUUAUAGCUCUUCCUACCACCCCUUGUUUAUGAACUUUAUACAACAUCUAUUACACCAUCUGCAGUAAGUGCCAGGAGAGGCAUGGUCAAGUUGAUCUUCAAUUGAGGGAGAAGGUAAUCAGGAAGGAGAAGUGAAGAAGGUCAUGGCCUAAUUGAGACCUCCGUUAUUCAGUUUAUUUGUUGGUCUGCUUGUUUUCUUGUAAGCGAGGACAGGUUGCUAAGCAGAAGUUUUUGCAAGCGCAAGACCUGAAGGGGAUCAGCAGUACGAAGGUUCCAGGAGCGGUACGAAGGUUCCAGAUGGACUGAGAGUGGAAGGAGCCUGUGGAGCAGAAGGAGGCUGAGGCUGGCUCCUUGGGCAGAUGCCAGCCAGUGGGAGGGGAGGCCAUUUCCUGGGUCUUUUCACAUCGCACCCCAUCAGCUCAUAAAGCCAGUCAUAACCAAGGCUUCAAAAAGAGGCCAUGGGCAAGGGCCAGAGAGAAGCAAGAACUGGUAGUUCCAUAGUGAACAAUCAAGCCUCAGGCAAUUUCAAAAAAUCUGAGUGUGACAUCUGCUGCUUUUGCCAUGACAUUUAUUCUGUAUUCUCAGCCCCUAGAAACCCCAACAAAACCAUCUCCCUAGAGAGGAAGAAAUUUUCAGUACUAUGAAAAUUCCUUCAAUCUUUUUUUUGUGUGUGUGUGUCUUUUUAGGCCGCACCCAGGGCAUAUGGAGGUUCCCAGGCUAGGGGUCGAAUCGGAGCCACAGCAAUGCCAGAUCUGCUGGCCUAUACCACAGCCACAGCAAUGCCAGAUCUGAGCUGCAUCUGUGACCUACACCACAGCUCAUAGCAAUGCCGGAUCCCCAACCCACUGAGCAAGGCCAGGGAUCGAACCUACAACCUAUGGUUCCUAGUUGGAUUCGUUUCCGCUGCAUCACAAAAGGAACUCCCAAUCAUUUCUAAUAUCCAUUUGAAUCAGAGUGACUUUUAUACUCUUCACUUAAUUUUGCUCUUCACUUUAAGUCUGUUUAUAUUUGAUCCUCAUAAGCUGCUAGUGUCUACACAUAGUAGGUCCUUCCCAACUACCUACUUCUUUCAGGAUAGUUGAACAAGAAAGAUGCAGCAAAUGCCAAUUUUCAUGUUUUUACAGAUAGAACAUGAGAAAGCAGAGGCAAAGUCUAGUUAAGAAAGAGUAAUAGCUAGUUAUCGAGCCCUUGUAUACACAGAUAGUAUGAUCAGCAGGUAUGUAGAUUAGUGCUUCAAAACCUUAUAACAAUUUUGUCAGGCAGGUACCAGUAUUAUUAUACCUAUUAUAAAGAUGAAGAAACUGGAGUUCCCAUCAUGGCUCAGUGGUAACGAACUUGACUAGUAUCCAUGAGGAUGAGGGUUUGAUCCCUGGCCUUGCUCAGUGGGCUAAGUAUCUGGCGUUGCCGAAAGCUGUGGUGUAGUUGGAAGGCGUGGCUUGGGUCCUGCAUUGCUGUAGCUGUGGUGUAGACCAGAAGGUUUUGCUCCGAUUUGACCCCUAGCCUGGGUACAUAUGCUGCGGGUGAGGCCCU
rnacentral:lncRNA from 1 species